AAGAGAGUAGCAAAGUGGUUAUGCAGUUGGCUUGAAACCAAUUCACGGGGGUUCGAUUCCUUCCUUUCUCG
rnacentral:tRNA from 1 species